GGCUCAGGGCGGAACGCUGGGGGGCGUCCCUAAUACAUGCAAGUUGAGCGCUGAAGGUGGGUACUUGUACCAACUGGAUGAGCAGCGAACGGGUGAGUAACGCGUGGGGAAUCUGCCUUUGAGCGGGGGACAACAUUUGGAAACGAAUGCUAAUACCGCAUAAAAACUUUAAACACAAGUUUUAAGUUUGAAAGAUGCAAUUGCAUCACUCAAAGAUGAUCCCGCGUUGUAUUAGCUAGUUGGUGAGGUAAAGGCUCACCAAGGCGAUGAUACAUAGCCGACCUGAGAGGGUGAUCGGCCACAUUGGGACUGAGACACGGCCCAAACUCCUACGGGAGGCAGCAGUAGGGAAUCUUCGGCAAUGGACGAAAGUCUGACCGAGCAACGCCGCGUGAGUGAAGAAGGUUUUCGGAUCGUAAAACUCUGUUGGUAGAGAAGAACGUUGGUGAGAGUGGAAAGCUCAUCAAGUGACGGUAACUACCCAGAAAGGGACGGCUAACUACGUGCCAGCAGCCGCGGUAAUACGUAGGUCCCGAGCGUUGUCCGGAUUUAUUGGGCGUAAAGCGAGCGCAGGUGGUUUAUUAAGUCUGGUGUAAAAGGCAGUGGCUCAACCAUUGUAUGCAUUGGAAACUGGUAGACUUGAGUGCAGGAGAGGAGAGUGGAAUUCCAUGUGUAGCGGUGAAAUGCGUAGAUAUAUGGAGGAACACCGGUGGCGAAAGCGGCUCUCUGGCCUGUAACUGACACUGAGGCUCGAAAGCGUGGGGAGCAAACAGGAUUAGAUACCCUGGUAGUCCACGCCGUAAACGAUGAGUGCUAGAUGUAGGGAGCUAUAAGUUCUCUGUAUCGCAUCUAAUGCAAUAA
rnacentral:rRNA from 1 species